AUCGAUAAACACACAGAGAGAAAGCGCCCCACAAACGGUAGAAACCUGGUCAUGAGAAGGUGCUGUACUGAUAUUAUUGCGUGAAACACAGAGUUAAACCUGGACGAGAUCAGAGAAGCCUGCUGGCACCACAGAAGAGGGUGAUGGGAAAAAUGCUGCCGUGGGCCAUCUGGCAGCUGGACCGUCGUCUGUGUGGCUUCAUUAACUCAGUGAACCUGCAUCAGGUAAGUGAUCCACUUACUCACUUCCUGAGUUAAUACUGUUAAUGUACGAGGCUGCUGAUGCCGAGCAGUGACUCAAAUCACUUCUUUUCUGUCCCCUCUGCUGCCUGAUUACAUUUUUUUAAUUUUCAUCUGCUACACGAAGCCCUUGUGUUAUGUUAAUUUCAUUUGGUGUGGAAAAAUAAGUGAAGAAAUUGUUUAUUUUCAAUAUUUUCUGUUUUCUAUCAUUUGUGUUCACAAGAAAACUAAGUGAUCUAAUUGUCUGAAAACAGCUGUUUAUGUUGUAACCAUGACAACAGAGAUUGUCUGGUGUUGAAGAAGUACUUAUUUUAACCCGAAUCAUCGUCUUUUCCUAAACCUAACCGAGCUGUGCCCGACCAUGGCGACGAAGGUCCGGUCCGCGUGUUUGUUAUUGUAACCAUGACAACCAGUACGCCUCCCGCCAUAUGGGGCGCUAUUUCAGGAGACACUCCUGUGGGGGCGCAUUGGAAGGUUGAAAAAAAUUACCUGUUUGUGUUCAGAAAUGACACGCCAGUCUCCUGUCGGGCACGCGCAUCCUCGGGCACGAGCAGCGCAUAAAUUGAGCAGCGCGCGCACGGG